GAGCGAGACCUUCGGGUCUAGCGGCGGACGGGUUAGUAACGCGUGGGAACGUGCCCUUUACUACGGAAUAGUCCCGGGAAACUGGGUUUAAUACCGUAUACGCCCUUCGGGGGAAAGAUUUAUCGGUAAAGGAUCGGCCCGCGUUAGAUUAGAUAGUUGGUGGGGUAAUGGCCUACCAAGUCUACGAUCUAUAGCUGGUUUGAGAGGAUGAUCAGCAACACUGGGACUGAGACACGGCCCAGACUCCUACGGGAGGCAGCAGUGGGGAAUCUUGGACAAUGGGCGCAAGCCUGAUCCAGCCAUGCCGCGUGAGUGACGAAGGCCUUAGGGUCGUAAAGCUCUUUCGCCAGGGAUGAUAAUGACAGUACCUGGUAAAGAAACCCCGGCUAACUCCGUGCCAGCAGCCGCGGUAAUACGGAGGGGGUUAGCGUUGUUCGGAAUUACUGGGCGUAAAGCGCACGUAGGCGGACUGGAAAGUUGGGGGUGAAAUCCCGGGGCUCAACCUCGGAACUGCCUCCAAAACUACUAGUCUAGAGUUCGAGAGAGGUGAGUGGAAUUCCGAGUGUAGAGGUGAAAUUCGUAGAUAUUCGGAGGAACACCAGUGGCGAAGGCGGCUCACUGGCUC
rnacentral:rRNA from 1 species